UACAGGCAGCCAUGAGUCACUCAAC
rnacentral:piRNA from 1 species